CCCCAGACUCCUACGGGAGGCAGCAGUGGGGGAUAUUGCACAAUGGGGGAAACCCUGAUGCAGCGACGCCGCGUGGGUGAAGAAGUAUUUCGGUAUGUAAAGCCCUAUCAGCAGGGAAGAAAGAAGACGGUACCUGACUAAGAAGCCCCGGCUAACUACGUGCCAGCAGCCGCGGUAAUACGUAGGGGGCGAGCGUUAUCCGGAUUCACUGGGUGUAAAGGGAGCGUAGACGGCCGUGCAAGCCAGGAGUGAAAGCCCGGGGCCCAACCCCGGGACUGCUCUUGGAACUGUGCGGCUGGAGUGCGGGAGGGGCAGGCGGAAUUCCUGGUGUAGCGGUGAAAUGCGUAGAUAUCAGGAGGAACACCGGCGGCGAAGGCGGCCUGCUGGACCGCGACUGACGUUGAGGCUCGAAAGCGUGGGGAGCGGACAGGAUUAGAUACCCUAGUAC
rnacentral:rRNA from 1 species